GGCUCAUUAUAUAAGUUAUCGUUUAUUUGAUAAUACUUUACUACUUGGAUAACCGUGGUAAUUCUAGAGCUAAUACAUGCUAAAAAUCCCGACUUCGGAAGGGUUGUAUUUAUUAGAUUAAAAACCAAUGCCCCUCGGGGCUCUCUGGUGAAUCAUGAUAACUAGUCGAAUCGACAGGCCUUGUGCCGGCGAUGGCUCAUUCAAAUUUCUUCCCUAUCAACUUUCGAUGUUUGGGUCUUGUCCAAACAUGGUGGCAACGGGUAACGGAGGGUUAGGGCUCGACCCCGGAGAAGGAGCCUGAGAAACGGCUACUACAUCCAAGGAAGGCAGCAGGCGCGCAAAUUACCCAAUCCCGACACGGGGAGGUAGUGACAAUAAAUACUGAUACAGGGCUCUUUUGGGUCUUGUAAUCGGAAUGAGUACAAUUUAAAUCCCUUAACGAGGAACAAUUGGAGGGCAAGUCUGGUGCCAGCAGCCGCGGUAAUUCCAGCUCCAAUAGCGUAUAUUAAAGUUGUUGUGGUUAAAAAGCUCGUAGUUGAACCUUGGGCCUGGCUGGCCGGUCCGCCUCACCGCGUGCACUGGUCCGGCCGGGCCUUUCCCUCUGCGGAACC
rnacentral:rRNA from 1 species